GUUCACAGGUGUAGCUACCAUCUGUCACCAUACAACACUAUUACAAUACCAUUAACUACAUUUCCUAUGCUGUACACCCCUUCCCCAUAACUUAUUCAUCCCAUAACUAAAAAGCUGUAUCUCC